rnacentral:tRNA from 1 species
GGAGGAAUACUCAAGUGGCUGAAGAGGCAGGCUUGGAAAGCAUGUAGGGCGUAAAAGCCGCAGGGGUUCAAAUCCCCUUUCCUCCGCCA